rnacentral:tRNA from 1 species
UCUAAUAUGGCAGAUUAGUGCAACGGGUUUAAGCCUCGUAUAUGAAGAACUUCUUCUAUUAGAA